CGACAAUUCGAAGUGCCUACAUUUUUUAUCAUUAUUACGUUCCUAAACUAAAUCAAGCUUAGAUAAUAUUAUUAGUAUCUAUUACAAGAAAAAGUUAAAACAGCUGACACUUCUAUCGGUUUACGAAGGCUCCUGUGCGAGUUUCGAUAAAAAAAACACCCAGUCGUUCAGUUCAUUGUGACCAGAAGCUUGUGUUUUCGUACGCGGCAGCGUGCACCGAGGCUGCGCAGCGAGAAUAAUAAUUUUAGUUUUAAAUUAAUUAGCAGCCAGUUACAAUGAUGAUAUGUAUUAGCGUAUUUAUAAUUGUGGUGUCUGUUGCGCUGAGUUUGAAGGUGUUGUUUAUGAGUUUUUCGUUGUAUGUGACGCUAAGAGAAUGUUAUGGAGAAAAACGGAUCAGUUUGCAGACCAGGCAAGAAAGAAACAACGUAGUAACGAUGUGGAAGCAGAUUUCGCGGCUUUUUAUGCCAAAGUUAUCUCAUUGUCCUAAUGCAGAUGGUGGAAACAGUAUUAAAUUGUGAUUUCUUGUUUUUGUUUCAUUUA